rnacentral:rRNA from 1 species
CAGCAGCCGCGGUAAUACGUAGGUGGCGAGCGUUGUCCGGAAUUAUUGGGCGUAAAGGGAGCGCAGGCGGACAUAUAAGUCCAUCUUAAAAGUGCGGAGCUCAACCCCGUGAGGGGAUGGAAACUGUAUGCCUUGAGUGCAGGAGAGGAAAGCGGAAUUCCCAGUGUAGCGGUGAAAUGCGUAGAUAUUGGAAGGAACACCAGUGGCGAAGGCGGCUUUCUGGACUGUAACUGACGCUGAGGCUCGAAAGCCAGGGGAGCGAACGGGAUUAGAUACCCGCGUAGUCCCUGUCUCUUAUACA